UACGUAGGGGGCAAGCGUUAUCCGGAAUUACUGGGUGUAAAGGGAGCGUAGACGGUAAUGUAAGUCUGGAGUGAAAGGCGGGGGCCCAACCCCCGGACUGCUCUGGAAACUAUGUUACUAGAGUGCAGGAGAGGUAAGCGGAAUUCCUAGUGUAGCGGUGAAAUGCGUAGAUAUUAGGAGGAACACCAGUGGCGAAGGCGGUCUGCUGGACAGCAACUGACGCUGAGGCGCGAAAGCGUGGGGAGCAAACAGG
rnacentral:rRNA from 1 species